rnacentral:lncRNA from 1 species
UCUCUAUUCCUAUUCAGUCUUCUUUUCAAUUUAUUUAGUGUUGAGUAUGGAGUGGAACUUGAUUCAGGACACUGUGAUGUGGGAAGUUCCAAAGGGAGGAAAAAUAUCUUUGAGGACAAUUUUCUGCUGGGCAUGAUAGGAGGACAUAAAUCUAAUUCCUGCUUCUGUGAAGGCUGAAGUUGGAGGAUCACUUGAGUUCAGGAGUUCUGAGUGUCACAGGGUUAAGCCAAUUGGACACUCACAGUAAGCCUGGAACCAAUAUGGUUGACUGCAGCUUGGCUGAAGAUGAAGACUGUGCAUCUGUCUGGGGGGCUAGCAGCUUUGCAGGCAGAAUGGGCAUCCAGAAGGACAUUCACUCAAUGAACAGAGCCAAGCCAUGAAUUGGAGCUUGAUGAAGGAAGAGACCCUGCUAUCCUCAUUUCAGAGGUGCUGAGGAGAAAGUUUGUUCUGAAGGAAGAAGAU